GGCCCCAUCGUCUAGCGGCCUAGGAUAUCUGGUUCUCAUCCAGAAGAUCGCGGGUUCAAAUCCCGCUGGGGUCACCA
rnacentral:tRNA from 1 species